rnacentral:lncRNA from 1 species
ACAUGUCAUUCCAUACAAGACCAUAGAAAACUCCAAUGAAACACCUUCUGUAGAUGACCUCAUGUAUAACUCAUAGGAUGAAGUGAUGAAGAUCUGCUUGCCUGCACGCAAGAAUGAGUACAUUCAGCAUAAUGGAAAACAUCAGCAGCACUAUGAAGAAUUAGUAAAGAAACUGACAGCCAACAAACAUGAAGAAUUCAAAUCCUGAAUUUGAUAUUUUCAGUGGAUGAUCUUGUACCAAAAGAUUGUGCAGAGUACUUUGUGUACAUGAUUAUAGAUUGGGCACCUCCCUAAGAGACCGUGCAGAUGAACCUGUCCAGCCAAGGAAACUGCAACUCGCUGACAACUUUAGACACAUUGCCUGUUAGAGAGGACCAGGAUAAAGGUGCAUCAGAGGAACUCACUGGCUUUUGUUCUUUCAGUGUAUAUGUCACUAGCCAAGACCUCAUGCAUAUCAGAGUCAAGCAUCAGCUUCUCACGGGGGCAGGGGGACACAAUAGCUGGACAAUUUAUUUUCCUUCUCUUUUAAAAAUUCUUUCUCUUUACCAAUCUUUUACUUUCCGAUGUGAAAGAAACGGGUGCUGAAUAAUCCUGAAUAAGAACAGCUAUAGCAUAAGGAUUCUCAGCAUAAAGAAUUGGAGAACACCGGAAAGAGAUGCCCAACAAUGAGAGAUGGAUAUUUAAUUACAUGUAAAAAGAAAGAAAGAAAGAUGAGACACAAGCCAACCAACACAAACCGAGCAUAAGGCAUGAACAGCCUUGCGUGAGUCAAGUGAAGAACACUAAACUGGAGUAGACUGACCAGGAGGGAGUGCUGGCGUGAAUGCUGAUGUGCUGCUGUAGCUAGAGAACUUGUAUUAGGAUCUCUACACUUUGAUAAGGAACAAAGAGAAACCAAGUAGUACAUGAGUUAGAGUCACAGAGGACUGAAUUGAAAUCACCUUAGCACACAUCCAUGCAUGUUUCUUAAACCCAUUAGUUCAAGUUUUUUUAUUUUUAAUUUCUGAAAAGAGUACCACCUGUACCAUAUCAUCUUGAUAAAUAUCAUAAAACAUAUUGUGGCACAAUGUGGUAUUUACUAAAAUGUUCAGUCCACAGUAAAAUACCAACUUUAUCAGUAUCCAUUUGUAGGAGGCAUGUAGGUCUAGAUUUAUCAUAAAAAGUAACUAUGAUUCACCAGGAGGAGAAAAUUAUAAGGGACUACAGUUUAACCUGAAAGCAAAUAGAGAAAACAAUGAAUGUCUCAACAGAUGAAUAAACUCAGGUAGUCAAAUUCAGAGGUACCCAUGCUCAAUUCAAGCCAAGUUAACAAUAAUGAAAAAUGCUGCUCCAUAAUUAGAGAAACAAAAACGUACUCCACGGGCUUGGGAAAGGCAAUGGGUAUAGAGCUUUCUGUGCAUGCAUGAGGACUCCAGGCAGAUCCCAAGACCCACAUCAUAGCUAGGUAUGGCAGUAUGUGUGGUCCUGAAACUGGUGGAAUAGAAAUAUGUGAAUCUCAGAGUCCAGCCUGCCUAAACAAGGUGAGCUCCAGAUUCAAUGGUACACUCUCUAAAAAGUUAAGAUAGACAACCUCAGGUUUAUACAGAGAGAGAGAGAGAGAGAGAGAGAGAGAGAGAGAGAGAGAGAGAGAGAAAGGCAAGCCUACUUAAUUAGUCUAUUUGAUACCACAAGUAUGUAAUAUGAUAAUAAAAAUAAAAAAUAAAAUGGAAAAUAUUUU